UACGGAGGGUGCGAGCGUUGUCCGGAAUCACUGGGCGUAAAGGGCGCGUAGGUGGCGCGGGCAGUCAACGGUGAAAGUUCGGGGCUCAACCCUGAAUCGGCCGUCGAUACUCCCGUGCUCGAGCACUGUAGAGGCAGAUGGAAUUCCGGGUGUAGCGGUGGAAUGCGUAGAGAUCCGGAAGAACACCGGUGGCGAAGGCGGUCUGCUGGGCAGUAGCUGACACUGAGGCGCGACAGCGUGGGGAGCAAACAGG
rnacentral:rRNA from 1 species